rnacentral:rRNA from 1 species
UGGGGAAUAUUGGACAAUGGGCGCAAGCCUGAUCCAGCCAUGCCGCGUGUGUGAAGAAGGCCUUUUGGUUGUAAAGCACUUUAAGCGAGGAGGAGGCUACUUGGAUUAAUACUCUAGGAUAGUGGACGUUACUCGCAGAAUAAGCACCGGCUAACUCUGUGCCAGCAGCCGCGGUAAUACAGAGGGUGCGAGCGUUAAUCGGAUUUACUGGGCGUAAAGCGUGCGUAGGCGGCUUCUUAAGUCGGAUGUGAAAUCCCUGAGCUUAACUUAGGAAUUGCAUUCGAUACUGGGAAGCUAGAGUAUGGGAGAGGAUGGUAGGAUUCCAGGUGUAGCGGUGAAAAGCGUAGAGAUCUGGGGGAAUACCGAUGGCGAAGGCAGCCAUCUGGCCUAAUACUGACGCUGAGGUACGAAAGCAGGGGGAGCAAACAGG